rnacentral:lncRNA from 10 species
AUAUGUGAGGUAGUAGGAACAGGUUUCUGUUACUUGUAACCAAAGGAGCUUUGAGAUAAUUGACAGCAAGUUGAUAAGUCAAUGAGAAUGGAGAAAGGAUGAGAUAAUAAGGAGAUUAAUUGAAGAGCCCUUUUACAAAGUUUCAAGACUUUGGUACUUAUAUUUAUUUUGUUUGGGAUUUUAAGCUUGUUUUUGAAGGACAAGUCUUACAAAUUCCUCUUUUAGAAAAUAGAAAAUUGAGCAAAAUAAUUCUUUGCAUUUUAUUUUACUUAUAUAAAGCUAGUCAAGAUAUUAAUUUGGGGGAACAAAAUAAUGAAGCCAGCUUACAAAUUCUCAAAAUGAAUACUUGAUUAAAGCAAACCUCUUCCUUGACAAUCAAACUCAAAAUGAGAGAAACUCUCUCAAAACAGAGCCCACGCUCUUCACCACAGAAACCAUGGCCCAAAGAAAUUAUUUAUUUUACAUAAUAGUGUGGCCACUUUUAAUGAUUAUGGGUGUAACUGGUCAUUUUCUUUAAUAAGUAUGAAGAGAUAAGAAUGACAAAUCCACUAUGUAUAAGAGAAAAGACUGAAUCAAGAGAACACAUUGAAACAGAGGUAUUGAAGAUGGAGCCAUUGCUCCUAAGACAAAAAUAGAAGGAAUGUUGAUGGCUGCUGUCAUUUCUCAUUCAGAAUCAGACAAUUCUCAGUUGGGGGUGAUAAAGAGCCAACAGCUUCUCAGUACCAAAACUGAGGAGAGAUGUGAUUGGGCAAUACUAUCAUUUCUAGGGGGAGCAGCUAAUAAGAAUGUAAAAGAUGAAAAAAACACAUUUAUUUGAUAUAGAAUUGAACUAUGUUAUUAAUGGAAAAAAUCAAUAUUUGUCUUCAUGACAGGUGACGAGUAAAGGGAACCAGCCGGACUAAGGCUGAGUGUUGAGAAAUCUGAUCUGUAAUAGUGGGAAUUACAUUCACCCAUGUUAAUACAAACUUCCUACCAUAUCGAAGAAACAGAUAAGACCAUCAUGAACAUCCUGCUUAUGCCUGAAGCAGUUGUUAUGCUUCAGAAGACAGAAGCAAUAGCCAAAAGGAAAACCUCCUAAGGAGAGAAGUUGGGUUACCAGCUGCAUGAGGCAGUAAAAGUGGGAUGAUGAACUGCAAAAGACAAUUACAGUUAAGAAAGUUGCGGUAAUGGCAUUCUGAGAUUUUCUUAUCCCAUAAGUUGUGUAUCUAUGUUGUAGUCUAGGUGAAAUAAAGUGACAGGGAAAGGUGUG